rnacentral:lncRNA from 1 species
AUGUCAGCAACGGGGGCGGGGACACCAGCCAGUGUCAGCCCCCCACCCCCACCCCCGCCAGGCACACGCGGAGGUUCCGACUCCUUCAGCAGCCGGGACGCAGUUGUAACCGGUCCUCGGGAAGGGGAGGGCGGAGAGCGAGGGCCAGUUGGGGCUUCUCCAACUCUUCUUCCUUCAUUUGUCAGAAAAUGCGGAGACUGGAGUGGAAAUGUGGGGGUCGUCCUGGGGGCCAGGUUCCCUGCCCAGGCAGAUGUGGCCACGGUCUCAUGA